rnacentral:rRNA from 1 species
AAUGAACGCUGGCGGCAUGCCUUACACAUGCAAGUCGAACGGCAGCAUGACCUAGCUUGCUAGGUUGAUGGCGAGUGGCGAACGGGUGAGUAAUGCAUCGGAACGUGCCUUUUAGUGGGGGAUAACGUAGCGAAAGUUACGCUAAUACCGCAUAUUCUCUGAGGAGGAAAGCAGGGGACCUUCGGGCCUUGCGCUAGAAGAGCGGCCGAUGUCGGAUUAGCUAGUUGGUGAGGUAAAGGCUCACCAAGGCAACGAUCCGUAGCGAGUCUGAGAGGAUGAUCCGCCACACUGGGACUGAGACACGGCCCAGACUCCUACGGGAGGCAGCAGUGGGGAAUUUUGGACAAUGGGCGCAAGCCUGAUCCAGCCAUGCCGCGUGAGUGAAGAAGGCCUUCGGGUUGUAAAGCUCUUUCGGCUGGGAAGAAAUCGCACCCUCUAAUACAGGGUGUGGAUGACGGUACCAGCAUAAGAAGCACCGGCUAACUACGUG